AAACUGUUCAGGAUAUUUUACUAUUUAAAAGAGAAAUCCUGGAUGAACUGACAUUUGGGGCUAAUUUGCUGAACUAAUUUAUUUUGCUAGGGUCAUGUAGACUUAGCCUCAAUCUGCUGUAUCUUUAUUUUGAUGACUCUGUGGAGUGUUUGUUGAGUGGAUAUUAUGUAGUCCUGUGCUGUUAGAUGUUAGGACCUAUGGGAACCCAGCACGGUACCUAGUACUUUCAGGGGGCUUGCAGUUUAGCCCAUGAGACUGGACAAACACUCAUGAAACAGAGGAUAGCACAAGGCAUCACAUAAAAGUGUGAACGAGUAAGGGACAGGAAUUGAGAGACAGUGAGACCAAGGCUCUUGGACUAUUUCAGAGAAGGCUUUAGGCAACAGUAUGUAGUUGGGAGGAAUGCGAACAGGUCAAGGAAAAGAGAUGGUCUUAGCAAAAGAAGAUUUAGCAAAAGAAAAUCCACUGGUUGAAAAAAAUAAAUGGAAUAUCUAUGUGCCAGGCAUUUCUUAAAAAACUAAGAUCUUUACAUGCCUGAGCUAAUUUUAUUCUAAUGACUGUAUGACAAGGUAUUUUAGCUCCCAUGUCAGUGGUGAGCAAAAUGAAUCACAAGGAUGUGAGAUAAUUUGCUCGGGACCACAUGGAAGGAAGCUGCUGAACUGGGAUUGUCCUGGAGACACUGAAGAGGUCUCCUAUCUAUCUCUGACUUCUGAUUAGAGCAGUGACCACUCUGGGCAACUGCUGUUUGCAUGUUCUUCUUGCAUGGCGAGUGAAGAACUGAAUGGGAAAAUCAAGGUGCAGAAACAAAAGCGCAACCACUGUCUCUGAGCUUCAGAGUCAAAGGGUAAGGGGAGGAUCCAGCAUGUCGGCAUCUCAGUGUUCAGUGCAAGGGGGCUGCAGUGACGGCCACUUCUGGGGACAUGUUGCCUCUCCAGCUCCCAUGAGCCACUCAAUGUGGUAGGGGAUCCUGGGUGGGAGGUCUUCUUCCUCCAGUCAAGGACAGGGUCUGCAUGAAGGCUCUGCUCCCUCGGGAGAGGUCCCAGAAAGUUUUCUACUCAGACAGGAUGUGGGGAACAUGCAGCGGAUGGCUAGUUUUCCCUGAAGCCAUCUUUCUUUUCUCUAUGGAUCUGAAACCAUUCACCUAGAGACUCUGCUUUCCAACCUCCCUUUCAAGACAGAAGACUAAAUUAUUGCCUAUGAAACGUGAGCUGAAGUGAUAAGUGCAACUUCUGUUUCAAGUCUUAACUGGAAACUGCUCUUAGACUUCUUUCUCUUCCUUUCAUUGGGCUGGAACCUGGAUGUGCUAGCAGUCCCACUGAGCCAGGCAGAUGCACAGUGCCCUGUAGGAUGGAGGGAAAACAACAGGGAAAGAACGUGGAUCUCUUCAUCACUGUGUGAGACAGAGCAGCCUGCCAGCCUGGACCAUCCAGCUCAAGAAUGUUAUGCAUAAAAGAAUGCCAUUCAAUCUUAGAAGCCACUGCUUUUCAGGGUCUCUUUGAUAGAAGAGCUGAGGUUUUUACCCUGAAUAAUGUGAAACAUUUCUGGGCUGGGAAGUUGAGCACUGAUGUCGAGUCAAUGCCUUAUAUCCCUUCAUUCUUUCCUUCUUUCCUUCCUCCCACAGAUACUUACUGAGCACCAACUCUGUACCAGCAAUGUGCGAGUUGCUGGUGAUAGUAAACAAAAGAGUCACAUCCCCAUCCUCCUGGGGCCACAUUAUAUGGUGGAGAGAGACAAAAACAAAUGGACAGACAUAAAAUCAAAACACUGGCAGACUGGAGUAUGUGUUGUAAAGAUCAUAAGCUUGUGUCUGGGAUGGAGAUGGGAGGGUAGAGAAAGCUGCAUUUGAUAGCAUGGUCAGGUAAGCCUCCAUGGGGAUGGAGGUGGUGCCUGGACUCAGCCGUGAAGGAGGACAAGCAGCCAGGCAUGCAAGGAAAGGGGACACACCACUCCAAGCAGAGGGGCACAUGUGCCAAGGCCCUGGGACAAGGAAGACCCUUUGAGCUCCAGUAACUGAAGGCAAGAGAGGAAGGAGGAGCGAUAGGAAGCUGGCAACGUGGGUGGGGCCGGAUCCUGGAUUUCCUCUGAGCGCAGGGCGAGGCUGUUGCAGAGUUUCAACCAGGAGCAUGGGCAUGGUGGGGGAAAGGCAAUACAUUUGCUUAAAAUUUAAGAUCACUUUUACCAUUUUAUGGAGAAGGUUAAGACUUUGUACAGCUCUCACAGGCUGUCAUGGUCCUGGAAGUAAAGGUUGGGGACAGUUGUUAACACACACACACGCACACACCAGAAUUUCUCUAACCACAUAAUAUUUGACUUCAGUUUAAAAAAUUAGUACAGGCCAGUAGCUUUAGGAGUUAGGUUGAGAGAGGAUUUCUUUAGCAAUAUGCAGUCCAAUUCCAAACAGGUUGGGAAGUGCUAGUUUAGAGUUCAGUGGUGGGAUUGUUUGGUCAACAUUUGUAGUUUUGGGUUGUGGGGAAGGCUGUUGUGAAGAGGGCCUCCCCAGAGAUGCUGAGCAUGGCCGUUUUGGGAGGUUGUAGGAGUUGUUCGAAGGGCCCUGGCCUUUGGAAUUUCUAGCUCUGGUUAAGAGUAGUGAAGAAAGGAAUGAAAAUACUUUAAUUUAUAAACACUUCCCAGACCAUUAAAGCUACCUAUUUUUCUCAAGCAAGUGAGGUCCAUAUUUAAGAACCACCAUUUCCUUCACUUAUUAAUUUUCCUUUGUGAGAUUUUGUCUCUUAAAGCACAAUAUCAUGACUCCCUUUAAUAACUACUAACAAGCAGGUUAUUUCAGGAAGGGAAUGACAUGGUUCCCAGACUUGCAGAUGUCAAUGCAGUCAUUACUGGGUCUCUUGCUAAGUUCUCAGUGCCCCCAGCUUUACUGAGAUGUAACUGAAACAUAACACUGUAUCAGUUUAGGUGUGCAGCCUAUGGCUUCAAUACACAUGCAUAUUGCAAAUAUUUAAGGUUUUUAACAACUGUACUCAGAAAUAAGACAUGAUUUAUUUCUCUCUUUUUUUUUUGACAGAGACACAAUAUCAGGGUCUGAACCAGUCCCCAUCAAGUAGAUUGUGAGGCUCCCUUUUGUUGCGUUAGUUUUUUGCAUAUCCAAGAAAUCUAACAAGAACAGAGCUUUUGCACAUCAGAAAAUGGUUACUGUGACCCAGUCUCGCCUUACAGACCUGCUGACGGGGAAAACCUCCCUUUCUCUUCCCGUCCCCUGCCCUCCUUUCUCUCUCUCUCCCCAAAGGGUUCUCUGGAAUCGGGGUAUGCUUGACUGCCCUUGAAGAAUGGCUACUGUGGCAACAGCUGCUCCCCCAGCCGGGCUCUCCUGAGGGCAGCAGGAGGGGAGGGGGAAGCGGGGUCAGAUGUGGCUGGACUUCCUUCGGCCAGGUUUCCUUGUGCUGCUUCCUCUGCUCCAAGAACAGCCCCGGGAAGAGGCCUGGGGCGGCCGCUCAGAUGUGCUGGCUCGGAGCCCAUGCUUGACUUUUCCCAGCCCGAGUCUCAGGCCAGCAACUCCACGGUCUCAAGUCUUCAUUUCUGUCCUGUUGAAACUCGUGGGGAAGGUUAAUGAGAUUAACACGGCCAAACACCGCGGCUUCGGAGCAGGAAGGAACCUGAUGCGUGCCCUCCGCGGCUGAAAUGCCGGCCAGGCCGUGCCAGCUGGGGACAUUUCGCAGAGUGCCCCUAUGACAGCUGGGAUUCCAGGAUACAGAUGCCGGGCCACUUCCCUGACAUGUAGUGUUCAAAAAUCCUUGUCAUCCCAGGCUGAAGUCUGUGUACAAGAGAGGAAUUCACAAUUAGAUCUGAAGUGGCCUGCUACCUACCAUUUGCUGAUGACCCCAACCUGCAGCAGGCAAGUGAUUGUAUCUGCAUACAUGCUCCAUUUAAUUUUUUUUCUCCAA